GUCGGGGAAGCAAUUCCUUGGUAACGAAGCUAACGCGUGAAGUUGACCGCCUGGGGAGUACGGCCGCAAGGUUAAAACUCAAAGGAAUUGACGGGGACCCGCACAAGCGGUGGAUUAUGUGGAUUAAUUCGAUGCAACGCGAAAAACCUUACCUACCCUUGACAUGCCAGGAACCCUCCAGAGAUGGAGGGGUGCCCGAAAGGGAACCUGGACACAGGUGCUGCAUGGCUGUCGUCAGCUCGUGUCGUGAGAUGUUGGGUUAAGUCCCGCAACGAGCGCAACCCUUGCCAUUAGUUGCCACAUUAAGUUGGGCACUCUAAUGGGACUGCCGGUGACAAACCGGAGGAAGGUGGGGAUGACGUCAAGUCCUCAUGGCCCUUAUGGGUUAGGGCUUCACACGUUAAUACAAUGGCCGGUACAGAGGGCAGCCAACCCGCCGAGGGGGAGCUAAUCCCAGAAAGCCGGUCCUAGUCCGGAUUGCAUCUGCAAUUCGACUUGCAUGAACCGGAAUCGCUAUUAAUCGCCGAUCAGCAUGUCGCGGUGAAUACUUCCCCGGUC
rnacentral:rRNA from 1 species